GACAGAGGGUGCAAACGUUGUUCGGAAUUACUGGGCGUAAAGCGAGUGUAGGCGGUCUUGAAAGUCGGAUGUGAAAGCCCUGGGCUUAACCCAGGAAGUGCAUUCGAAACUCCCGGGCUUGAGUUCUGGAGAGGAAGGCGGAAUUCUCGGUGUAGAGGUGAAAUUCGUAGAUAUCGAGAGGAACACCGGUGGCGAAGGCGGCCUUCUGGACAGUGACUGACGCUGAGACGCGAAAGCGUGGGGAGCAAACAGG
rnacentral:rRNA from 1 species